UUAUCGUGUGAGCUGUGUGUGUACGCAUCUCUAAACCGAUGCCGUCCCCUCCUGGAGACGACUCCUUAGCUGGCCCUGAGCCACACAGCAAAGCACAGCUUACCCACUGGAUUUCUUCAGGACCUUCCACCUUUGGUAGCAUCACACUAGAGGGCAGAACUCGGGCCUGCAGGAUGGUCUCCAGGUCAGCCUCAGCCAGACCACUGGACACUGAGUUGAUUCUCACACACUUUUCUGUUGGGCCCAGGUCAAAGUCUUCGAGAGUUCUUACUAUUCUCUGCCGUGCUUCAUCCUGUGAACAUUGAGAAAAAUGUACUUAAGUUUGCUCUUAACGUUAAGGAAGACCCAAGGAACAGUCCUGGAACUCUGAUGGACACUGUGAUGAGAAUAACACCAUUUCUGUCCACGAGAAAAUGGUAGUGGAAACGAAUCAUCCACACUCGCAGGGGAGUGAAUGAUUUCUACACAUCUUUCACGACGGCUGGAACACAAGGGGGAUAAACCAUCGUAUAUAGCAUACUGACUGUGUACCUCUGAACGGCAGAGCAAUGUGCUCAUUUGUGUACUUUCUAGUGGAGGGGGUAAAAUAAUUCACUGAUUGGGCAUGAACUGUGCACUAAGCAUAGCUCCAAGUCUUUCUCCCUUUUUCUUCAUUUCUAGUCUUAGAAGCUAGAUGUCAUUGGAGUCGUGGCACUAGCAUCUGUCAGCACAGUCGAAAUGCAAGCCCUUGCACUUCUGCUCUCCAGGACAGCCUUGCAGAAGAUCUACCGAAACACUGUCUGGGAGAAUAAAAGGGCGCUCUUUCCUGGCACGGUGGCGCACCUUUCCAGAGAGAGAGAGGAUGGCGUCUGAGGUAUGUUGCCACACAUCACCCUGACUAACAGGCUGCUGACUGCUACAAUUUACAUCAAUGAGGAGCACAUCCCUCUGGUACGUAUCCCAAAAUAUCCAACAACCUUACUGAAUUUACACCAACCAACAAGUGUGUGGAUUUUUUUAUUAUUAUUUUAAUGGUAAAAUAUGU